UACGUAGGUGGCAAGCGUUGUCCGGAAUUAUUGGGCGUAAAGAGCGUGUAGGUGGGAUGGUAAGUCCAUCUUAAAAGUGCGGGGCUCAACCCCGUGAUGGGAUGGAAACUAUCAUUCUUGAGUGCAGGAGAGGAAAGCGGAAUUCCCAGUGUAGCGGUGAAAUGCGUAGAUAUUGGGAGGAACACCAGUGGCGAAGGCGGCUUUCUGGACUGUGUCUGACACUGAGGCGCGAAAGCCAGGGGAGCGAACG
rnacentral:rRNA from 1 species